AGGGAGGAAACCAUCCUGCCACUGGGAACCAGGAAGACGGGUGAAAGGCAAGGAAUAUGCAAAAUGAGUCUCAGCUCUCCUUUGAGACACCUUCCGGCCCUGGCAGAGUCCAGUGGCAGGAGCUUUGGUAUGAACCAUGCCCGGUAACAGGGACUGUGCAGAGGAAGAAUCCCAGCUAGCCUAUGGAUGAAGAGCUCAGUGAAAGGAGAGGCAGACAGGACCGAUGGCUGCCACCUUGGACCAUGAUGUGGGAGCCACGUUAUGAGAAUGGCAGAGCAACCAGAUAGCGUUGGCACCACCAAUCCCAGCCCUGGACUUCCCAUGUGCCGACGAAGACCUACUAUGCAGAGAGGAUAGAGGAGGGACACAGAGGCCACUGGAGGUGAUUUGAAAAGGACGAGGACACCUGGGAACAAGGCAAUGAAGGUGGCUAGGACAGAGGCAUGAGGACAGAGCCUGGG